CGCGUGAGUGAUGAAGGCUUUCGGGUCGUAAAGCUCUGUCAAGUGGGAAGAAUAUGCCCUGUGAUAAUACCAUGGGGCACUGACGGUACCACUGAAGGAAGCACCGGCUAACUCCGUGCCAGCAGCCGCGGUAAUACGGGGGGUGCAAGCGUUAUUCGGAAUCAUUGGGCGUAAAGGGCGCGUAGGCGGCCCCUUAAGUCAGAUGUGAAAGCCCUCAGCUUAACUGAGGAAGUGCAUUUGAAACUAAGGGGCUUGAGUAUGGGAGAGGGAAGCGGAAUUCCUGGUGUAGCGGUGAAAUGCGUAGAUAUCAGGAGGAACACCGGUGGGCGAAGGCGGCUUCCUGGACCAAUACUGACGCUGAGGCGCGAAGCGUGGGGACAAACAGGAUUAGAUACCUGGUAGUCCACGCAGUAACUGUGAACGCUAGUGUACGGGUAUUGACCCUGCUGUGCCGAA
rnacentral:rRNA from 1 species